rnacentral:tRNA from 1 species
GCGCCGUUGGUGUAAGGCGUAGCACUGCUGCCCGGAAAGCAGAAGGUGCGGGUUCCAGUCCCGCCCGGCGCA